GGAAAAAUUAUAUCAACCUAGUUCACAAAGAAUGUGAAUUAUUAUACCAUUUAAGUUGUUACCCCCUAGAGCUAAAAUCUGAAGAAACUUUAAAUUGCCAAUUUCUCUUGGUAUCUUCCCACUAAAGGAGUUGUGAGACAGUCCGACAGUUUGAAGUUGUUAACAUUCGGAUAUAUUCGAUGGAAUUUCGCCACUCAGCUGAUUACGAGAUAGGUAAAUUUGUUGAACAAGUGGAAGUUUACUGCAAAAGUCACUUGGAAGGCUGCCACUCAAUUCAUUUCCUGUGAAAACCUCUGUUACACAGACACGGCAAACACAUGAAGUUUCCCCGUGUCGGAAACGUUUCGGACACGAAACGCGAAGACACCUUUAAGAAACGCUGUUGGGCCGUGUCUGUAAUAUUUGAAAAGUUGGACACGCGUGUCAAGGGAAAAAAAAAAGAAUUUUCUUUUUUACAAAUCUGAUUAUUUGGGUUUUUGUGAAACUGGAGGAAUAAAUUGGCAGCUCUCUCUCAUUAAUCCGAUAAUUAAUUGCAAAUUUAUUUGAAUAAACGAUUAAACGUAUUAAAUAUUCAUGUAUAUUUUAAUAUUGUACAUAAAAAAUAAAACAUAAUUUAGUAAUAAUUUAUAAAUAAACCCCUAUAUUUUUAAUAUUUACACGUAUCCCCCACGUUCCCGUGUCCUACUUUUUUUGAUUAAGUGUAUCCCGGUGUCCGUAUCCGUGUGUCGCCGUGUCCCCGUUCCCGUGUCUAUGUAACAUAGGUGAAAACUAUAGACUCCAGGGUUGAUAUGUUGAAUAGGGAUGAUGGUUUUUGACCGGAGAGACGAUUGUAAGCAAAACUAAGAAGCCGUAGAUUUGUCAGGUUAGAGAGGGAAGUGGGAAUGGAACCGGUAAAACUGUUAUUCCGUAGAGAUGGAUGCUCGAGUUUAGUUAAAAGACCCAACCACAGUGGAAUCUCUCCACUCAAGUUGUUUACUUUGAAAGAAAUAAACUUCAAUUUGUGCAGUAAAGACAACUGUAGAGGCAGAACACCACCGAAAAAGUUGAAACUAUAAUCGAGUGAAACGAGGAAGGAAAGGUUUCCUAGUUGUGGUGGAAUUGUGCCUGAAAGACCCAUGUAAGAAAUAUUUAACGCCUCUACUCGAUUAUGGUGCAAACCGCAAGUGACGCCAAUCCAGCUGCAGACAGAGCUCGAAUUUGUCCAACUUUUGGCAAGUGUGUUUUCAGGUUCCAAAAGUAUAUGAGAUUUCAGGGAAAGAAGGGCAGAUUAAUUGUUUGAUAAAAAUGUAUGACUAAAGAAUCAUGGAAGAAGGAUGUUGGGUAUCCGCCCGGAGAAACAAUCGGAAAUAAAACAGCCAUUAUAUUCACUAAAUUAAUAUGCAAAACAAUUAUGGGAAUAGGGGUACGGAAUACAAUCACACAGAAUAUUAACUACUGUUAAUAUUAUUUAACCUUAACAACAAAAACCAAGCAUAACAAUUAUAAUGACUUUAUCAAAUCAGGAUAAUUGCAAAAAAGGUAAGAAACAAAUAAAUAAUAUAAAACUAAAGAAAUAAAGGGGGAAAAACAAAACCACGGCGAAUCACACAGAUUCGUGGGAGGAUGAAUCUCUGCCGACGAUUGAGGUUUCCGGCUCAGUCUCAAUUCCCAUCCGUCCUCGUCCAAGACUCACCAGCCGCAGCCACGCACCCACCGGAACAAGCCCAAUAGCCCAAAUCCCUCUCAGAUUUCUAACCGGAAAAACCCGAAAAAAAACCCAAACACACAAAGGACCAAGAGUUCGAAUAAAUCAAACACACACAGCACUCAACCCAACACCCAAACACUCACAAAGAGUUGAGACUCACAAAGAGUCGAAUCAGUCACGAAGAAAAGAUUUACGAACAAGGUGUAACGUAGGUUGAAUUUUCUUGGUCUCUCUUGGUCACUGUUCUCUCACGAAGAAGAGGUCUAUUUAAUAGCCCCCAAGAACCGACUUCAACGGAAGCCGAGGGAUCGGGAUACUGGUGUCACAGAUUUCCGGCGGAGAAAUCGGACCAGAAAAGAGGACAAAAAAGCAGAGGGGCGAGAUCAGUUUUUCGGUGGAGAAAAUUAAUCGUUUGUUCACGUUUUGACCUCUUACUUGGGUCAAGACCUAUUUUCUCCACGUGGGCUUUUUCAAGUAUGGGCUUGCUCCAAGAUGGGCUGGUUACAUGCUGGUAUUGGGCCACAGAUGAAGAAAAAAUCAUUUGGGCCAAAAAAUCCCAAUAAAGGAAAAGAACUUUGUAUGAAUUACAUCUUAUCUUAUUAUUUAUUCUGCAGACAAGACAAUUACUUACCUGGCCGGCCGAGUUGUGGGGACUUGUUCGUAGACUUGAAUUUUAAAGUCAGUCUAAUUUGUGGAAAUUAUAUAGUGAUGUAUGCUUUUUGGCGUGGCAAAUAAACUACAAUAGUUGGAGAAAUUACAAUUUAACCCCAGAUUUAUGGUUUCUGUAAUUACAAAUUUGGACUCCUAGUUUUGUUUAUUGCUGAAUCAAGCGGGGUUAAUUUGAAAUAAUUUAAAAUCAGAUUUAGUUCCCACAAUGAUUCUGAAUACUGCAUUUCAGUCCCCAAUUUUAAAGUUUCUCUCAAAACUGUGAUAUACAUUCAGAAAAUUCCCUUUUAACCCCCAAAUUAAGUAUUUCUGAAUCUCAGGUCCGUUUUCAAUCAAAGACUUUUCUUUCAGAAAUUUCGAUCUAGUCCAUCAUGUUUUAAGAUUUUUUUUGGAUUUGGGUGCAGUGGUCUAUUUCUUCAAAGAACGAAGACUUGACUUUUUAAGCUUUUUGUAAAGAUUUUGUGGCAUUUAAAGUUUCAAUUGUUUUGAUGGACCCAACUGAAUUAUUUUUAGUUCACUUUAAAGUUUGUUUGAUUAAUAAAGUGAAAUUCAAUUUGGAUUUCCAAUUUGUUAUCUAGAAACCAUCAUCAUAUCGCAUUACAAAAACUUAUUCAAAUUGAAAUAUAUACUACCAAACAAACAAGUGCUUAACAUGCAUCCAGAAUUAUUCUUCCCUUCAUUAUUACACAGUUUAUUGUAGAUAAAUCCUUAAUUAACAUUGUAGAAGCUGUAUCAGGACAUAAUUAACAGCAUCAGUGGUACUUGGGGUUUCAGAUCGAACCUCGGCGGAAAUAUCGAACUUUGAUCUUCUGCAGCUCCGUUAGAGCUUCUUUCAUGUUUAUUCUAUCACCAGAAGAUUCCGCACAACACUUCAAAGCCAACUCCAGUAUUGAUGACGCGCAUUGCACGUUUUUCUCAAAGGCUUGUUCGUUUUCCGUAUUCAAUAUAUUGGCAUCUAUUACCUCACUUGAUGACUCGUUAUUAACUGAGCUUUGAACCCAACUCUUUAAAGUUAAAUCUCCGCCGAACAUUUCAUCGCUUGGCCUUUUUCUAGUAAAAGUUUCCAUCACCAUCACUCCAUAGCUAUAAACAUCACACCUUGUAGAAACUAGCCCUUCCAAACCAUACUCUAUAAACAACAAUCGUAUAAUUCAAUAAAUCAAAAGUGAAAUCCAAUCGAUAAUAUAUAAAAUUAGUAUGAGUGAAAGUGAGAAUAUUAAUUAACCUGGUGCAAUGUAACCCAUUGUUGCUAGGGUGAUGGUGUGCAUAGUGCUCUCACCUUCGCCCAUCAAUUUUGCUAUCCCGAAAUCACUCACAUGAGCAACCAUGUCUUCAUCUAACAACACAUUAAUUGGCUUCAAAUCGCAAUGAACAAUUCGUGUCGAAUAGCCAUGAUGGAGAUAUUCCAAGGCACAUGCAACAUCAAUCAUUAAAUUCAAUCUUUGCAAUAUAUCCAAGCAGUAGUUGUGGGAAUAUAGCCAUUGGUCGAGGUUUCCAUUCGGCAUGUAUUCAAGUACCAAUGCAUUGAAAUCCUCGUUUGAGCAACUGCUAAUGACUUUGAUGAGAUUUCUGUGACGGACGUUGCGUAGUAUCUCACAUUCGACAUCAAAGCUCUUCGAAGCAGUUUCCGAAAGUGAAUUGAACACCUUCACAGCUAAAAAUUUCCCAUCUUUUAGAACACCUUUGUAAACAGAACCGAACCCCCCACGGCCUAGUAAAUUCGUCUCGCUGAAGUGUUCGGUUGAUCGUAGGAGUUCAUAAUAGGAAAUUCUUUCUGGUACAGUAGACAAUAGCCCGUCAUUUCCAUUGGCUGCUUUAUCUUUUCUUCUAUAUCUAAUCAAGAUGACGAAUGCCAAAGAGACGAGCGAGAUGAAUGCAACAAUCCCGGAAAUAAUAAAUAAAGCAAAAUGUGCAAUUUUCAUCCUUGGCCCGUGAUUGGAAGCAUUACGACAAAGAGGUACAUUGAACCUUGGAACACCACACAAUGCCUCAUUGCCCUUAAAAGACUCCAUAGUGAGGUUUGUGAAAGGACCACCGUUGGGAAUUUCACCUCUCAAACCAUUGAAAGAGACAUUAAAGUAGACGAGAUAUUUAAGUGUCUCCAACGACUUUGGGAUCGAACCAGAGAGGUUAUUGUUAGACAAGUCUACAACUUCUAAACUUAUCAUGCUCCCCAUUGACUCGGGAAUAGAACCUUCCAAUCGAUUAUGUGCCAAAUACAAGUUCGUCAAAGAUAUUAAAUUUCCGACUGUGCUUGGAAUAGACUCUGACAACUGGUUCAUUGAUAGAUUGAUCCGGGUUGCUGACACUAAAUUACCUAUUUCUAGAGGUAUAAUUCCACUCAAAAAAUUUGAGGACAAGUCUAGGUGCAACAAAUCUGUGAGGCGCCACAUGCUUGAUGGGAUGCUUAAAUUUAACAUGUUGGAAUCUAGAUAGAGAUAUCUUAAAGAUGUGAUAUUUUCUAAACACUCCGGUAUUUGGCCGGAAAAUUUGUUACGGCUUAAAAAUAAACUAUCCAAGUUGUGUAAAUCACAAAGACCCUCUGGAAUGGAACCUCUCAUAUUGCUGUUACUUAAAUAUAAUCCUUGAAGCUUAUGCAAAUGGUUGACAGUAGGUGGAAUAUUACCGAACAACUCGUUCCCGUUUAAAGAAAAUUUCACUAGGUUGCUUAAAUUGCCGAUUUCUGGAGGGAUAAUACCCUUAAUUUGACAAUUGAAGGCCAUUAUUUCUUGCAAGGAGAUUGAUAAAUUCCCAAUGGAAGCCGGAAUGAUGCCAUCUAGAGGAUUAUUAGCAAUUCUGAGUGUAAUUAAUGAUCUGCAAUUUGCCAAGGAAGUUAUGAAGCUCAACUCUGAAGAAGUUGAUUCGGUUCUUAGAUUGUUGUUAUACAUGGAUAGAAAUUCAAGCAUUCUUAGGUUACCGAGAAAAUGAGGUACAAAACCAGUGAAGUUGUUAUCACCGAGUUCAAGAAUUCUGAGUUUGGAACAGUUAGUGAUCGAAUCAGGUAUUGAUCCACUGAGGUCAUUUUCUGCGAGGUAAAGUUCUUCAAGAGAGGGUAACCCGUGAUCCAAAUUAGUUGGAAGACUGCCUGACAGACUAUUAGCUAAAAGAUCAAGAAUUCGAAGAUUUGACAUGUUAAAGAGUUCCAAUGGGAUAAAACCAGUGAAGCUGUUAGUGUUUAAUUUUAAUGUAUUCAAUUGGUAAAUUUUCCCAAUUUCACGCGGUAAAACACCUGUCAAGAUUUAAAAAAAAAAAUUAAACAUUUGCCUAUUAAUAUCGAAAGUCAUCCGUUAUAAUUUUCUCGGUCGCACCUGUUAACUUGUUCUCUGUGAGUCCCAAGCGUUUGAGCUUUGUAAGAUUCCCGAUUUCUUUUGGGAGGUUUCCAGACAGUUGAUUGCGAUGUAGUCGUAAAAGUUGGAGAGAAGAAAUAUUGAAGAUACUGAGUGGAAUUGUGCCACUAAUUUGGUUUAGUUCAAUGGCUAAUUCAUCCAGGUUAUGAAGAUUGCCAAUCUCGGACGGGAUAACACCUAUAUAUGGAACACACAAAUCAACUGUUAAAAUCAUAAUGCUAGUUGAAAGAGAAUGUGAAGUAUUUUAUACCAUUUAAGUUGUUGCGCCCGAGAUGUAAAAUGCGAAGAAAUUUUAACUUGCCAAUUGCUUUUGGUAUCUGCCCACUAAAUGAGUUGUAAGACAGUGAUAUAUAUCGAAGUUGCGAACAUUCUGACAGACUUGACGGGAUUUCGCCACUCAAUUUAUUACGAGAUAGGUAAAUUCCUUGAACAAGUGGAAGUUUACUGCAAAAGUCACUUGGAAGGCUACCACUCAACUCAUUUCCUUUGAAAGAUAUACCCUCC
rnacentral:lncRNA from 1 species